GGGAGUAUCAGAGCAGCAACACAAUAAGAAGGUUGAGGCGACCAUAAAGGAGUAUCAACUUGAAAUAUGAGAAUAAUCUUUAAGCUCAAUCACAAUUCAAGAUUUAGAAGCAUUUUGAAGAAGGUGGUGUUUCAACAUUGCUCUAAAAGACUUUCUCAUUGCAGAGCAAAUGUAAAGAGAAUAAGGACUCGUUCAAGAAGGUGAGCCGCAAAGUGAGACGAUCUCAAGAACUGCUAAUUAACGACUAAUCUUCACUUUCAAGAAUUGUGUUACUCGCAAGAUGAUCAUAAAACUCUGUUUUAAAUUUAUGCACCAUAUUUCUAGUCAUAUUACAAUACUACAAAUUUUUAGACAUCUCUUUCUAUCGAGAUGUAAAACAACAUAAUCC